rnacentral:rRNA from 1 species
GAUGAACGCUGGCGGCGUGCUUAACACAUGCAAGUCGAACGGGAAACCUUUUAAUGAAGCUUCGGCAGAUUUAGCUGGUUUCUAGUGGCGGACGGGUGAGUAACGCGUGGGUAACCUGCCUUAUACAGGGGGAUAACAGUCAGAAAUGACUGCUAAUACCGCAUAAGCGCACAGGACCGCAUGGUCCGGUGUGAAAAACUCCGGUGGUAUAAGAUGGACCCGCGUUGGAUUAGCUUGUUGGUGGGGUAACGGCUCACCAAGGCGACGAUCCAUAGCCGGCAUGAGAGGGUGAACGGCCACAUUGGGACUGAGACACGGCGCAGACUCCUACGGGAGGCAGCAGUGGGGAAUAUUGCACAAUGGGGGAAACCCUGAUGCAGCGACGCCGCGUGAAGGAAGAAGUAUCUAGGUAUGUAAACUUCUAUCAGCAGGGAAGAUAGUGACGGUACCUGACUAAGAAGCCCCGGCUAACUACGUG